UACGGAGGAUGCGAGCGUUAUCCGGAUUUAUUGGGUUUAAAGGGUGCGUAGGCGGGCUGUUAAGUCAGCGGUCAAAUGUCGGGGCUCAACCCCGGCCUGCCGUUGAAACUGGCGGCCUCGAGUGGGCGAGAAGUAUGCGGAAUGCGUGGUGUAGCGGUGAAAUGCUUAGAUAUCACGAAGAACUCCGAUUGCGAAGGCAGCCUGCUGGACUGUAACUGACGUUGAGGCUCGAAAGCGUGGGGAGCAAACAGG
rnacentral:rRNA from 1 species